rnacentral:rRNA from 1 species
UACGAAGGGUGCAAGCGUUACUCGGAAUUACUGGGCGUAAAGCGUGCGUUGGUGGUUCGUUAAGUCUGAUGUGAAAGCCCUGGGCUCAACCUGGGAAUGGCAUUGGAUACUGGCGAUCUAGAGUGCGGUAGAGGGCAGUGGAAUUCCCGGUGUAGCAGUGAAAUGCGUAGAGAUCGGGAGGAACAUCUGUGGCGAAGGCGACUGCCUGGACCAGCACUGACACUGAGGCACGAAAGCGUGGGGAGCAAACAGG